rnacentral:rRNA from 1 species
AUUGAACGCUAGCGGGAUGCCUUACACAUGCAAGUCGAACGGAGUGGCGAACGGGUGAGUAAUGUAUCGGAAUGUGCCCCGUAGCGGGGGUUAACUAUGCGAAAUUGUAGCUAAUACCGCAUACUCUUGGCGCGGGCGAUAUGGGAUUAGCUAGUUGGUGGGGUAACGGCUCACCAAGGCGACGAUCCGUAGCUGGUUUGAGAGGACGACCAGUCACACUGGAACUGAGACACGGCCCAGACUACUACGAGAGGCAGCAGUGGGGAAUAUUGGAGAAUGGGGGAAACCCUGAUCCAGCCAUCCCGCGUGUGCGAUGAAGGCCUUCGGGUUGUAAAGCACUUUUGGCAGGAAAGCGGUACCUGCAGAAUAAGCACCGGCUAACUACGUGCCAGCCGCCGCGGUAAUAC